GCGAGAGUGGUGGAAUUGGUAGACACGCAAGAUUUAGGAUCUUGUGCCGCAAGGUGUGGGGGUUCGAGUCCCCCUUCUCGCACCA
rnacentral:tRNA from 1 species